AGGACGAACGCUGGCGGCGUGCUUAACACAUGCAAGUCGAGCGGUAAGGCCUUUCGGGGUACACGAGCGGCGAACGGGUGAGUAACACGUGGGUGAUCUGCCCUGCACUUCGGGAUAAGCCUGGGAAACUGGGUCUAAUACCGGAUAUGACCUCCUAUCGCAUGGUGGGUGGUGGAAAGAUUUAUCGGUGCAGGAUGGGCCCGCGGCCUAUCAGCUUGGUUGGUGGGUAAUGGCCUACCAAGGCGACGACGGGUAGCCGACCUGAGAGGGUGACCGGCACACUGGGACUGAGACACGGCCCAGACUCCUACGGGAGGCAGCAGUGGGAAUAUUGCACAAGUGGGCGAAAGCCUGAUGCAGCGACGCCGCGUGAGGAUGGACGGUCCGUUCGGGUUACGUAAACCGUUCUUUCGAGGUCGAGGACGAAGCGACAAGGUCGACCGUACGUAGCGAAGGAACGGAAGCCGUAACCGGACC
rnacentral:rRNA from 1 species